rnacentral:rRNA from 1 species
CCUACGGGGGGCAGCAGUGGGGAAUUUUGGACAAUGGGGGCAACCCUGAUCCAGCAAUGCCGCGUGAGUGAAGAAGGCCUUCGGGUUGUAAAGCUCUUUUGUUAGGGAAGAAAUCCUUAAGGCUAAUACCCUUGGGGGAUGACGGUACCUAAAGAAUAAGCACCGGCUAACUACGUGCCAGCAGCCGCGGUAAUACGUAGGGUGCAAGCGUUAAUCGGAAUUACUGGGCGUAAAGCGUGCGCAGGCGGUCUGAUAAGACAGUCGUGAAAUCCCCGGGCUCAACCUGGGAACUGCGUUUGAAACUCCAAAGCUAGAGUAUAGGAGAGGGGGGUAGAAUUCCACGUGUAGCAGUGAAAUGCGUAGAGAUGUGGAGGAAUACCAAUGGCGAAGGCAGCCCCCUGGCUUAAUACUGACGCUCAUGCACGAAAGCGUGGGGAGCAAACAGGAUUAGAUACCCUGGUAGUCCACGCCCUAAACGAUGUCUACUAGUUGUUGGGAGAGUAAAAUCUCUUAGUAACGCAGCUAACGCGUGAAGUAGACCGCCUGGGGAGUACGGUCGCAAGAUUAAAACUCAAAGGAAUUGACGGA